CAGAUGUGAAAGACCCGGGGCGUCAACCUCGGAAUAGCAUUUGAAACUAGGCAGACUAGAGUACUGUAGAGGGGGGUAGGAAGUUUCAGGUGUAGCGGUGAAAUAGCGUAGAGAUCUGAAGGAAUACCGGUGGCGAAGGCGGCCCCCUCGGACAGAUACUGACACUCAGAUGCGAAAGCGUGGGGAGCAAACAGGAUUAGAUACCCUGGUAG
rnacentral:rRNA from 1 species